UGAUAAUAAAUUAAAAUUGUACUGUUUCCUUCUUUCAUCAUAUAUAUCAUCCCAUCCAGAUGGAAUAAAGAUCAAGAUUCCAGGACAUGUGCUACUUAGUAAUAGGAUUGUACGGUGCCGAAGCAACGUUGAAGUAUUUAUAUUGCGAGAAGCAGAUCUUGAAGAAGUCAUUUCUUUGUUUACAAGAUUCUUGAGGAACCCCCGUGUUCAGGGUGCCAUAAGGUAUGAAUCUCCUUAUUGGCAAGCCCUGGCAGCACGCUGCAUUCAAGUUGCAUGGAGAUAUAGAAAGAAAUGUCUAAGUCGAGCAGACACCAACAAUCCAUCACAACAAAAUUUAGUAGGAAUAUAAUGAAAGUUAGAUCAGGUAGUCUAGAUGGAGUAACAUCUGAAUUUUAUUAUGGAUACUCGAAUUAUUGUAUUUAAACACAAAUUUAGUAAUAAUCCAAUCAAAAU